rnacentral:rRNA from 1 species
UGCAGUCGAGGGGUAGAAGUCUUCGGACUUUGAGACCGGCGCACGGGUGCGUAACGCGUUUGCAAUCUACCUUUUACAGAGGGAUAGCCCAGAGAAAUUUGGAUUAAUACCUCAUAGUAUUAUGAAAUGGCAUCAUUUUAUAAUUAAAGUCACAACGGUAAAAGAUGAGCAUGCGUCCCAUUAGCUAGUUGGUAAGGUAACGGCUUACCAAGGCUACGAUGGGUAGGGGUCCUGAGAGGGAGAUCCCCCACACUGGUACUGAGACACGGACCAGACUCCUACGGGAGGCAGCAGUGAGGAAUAUUGGACAAUGGGCGCAAGCCUGAUCCAGCCAUGCCGCGUGCAGGAUGACGGUCCUAUGGAUUGUAAACUGCUUUUAUACGAGAAGAAACACUACUUCGUGAAGUAGCUUGACGGUAUCGUAAGAAUAAGGAUCGGCUAACUCCGUGCCAGCAGCCGCGGUAAUACGGAGGAUCCAAGCGUUAUCCGGAAUCAUUGGGUUUAAAGGGUCCGUAGGCGGUUUAAUAAGUCAGUGGUGAAAGCCCAUCGCUCAACGGUGGAACGGCCAUUGAUACUGUUAAACUUGAAUUAUUAGGAAGUAACUAGAAUAUGUAGUGUAGCGGUGAAAUGCUUAGAGAUUACAUGGAAUACCAAUUGCGAAGGCAGGUUACUACUAAUGGAUUGACGCUGAUGGACGAAAGCGUGGGUAGCGAACAGGAUUAGAUACCCUGGUAGUCCACGCCGUANACGAUGGAUACUAGCUGUUGGAAGCAAUUUCAGUGGCUAAGCGAAAGUGAUAAGUAUCCCACCUGGGGAGUACGUUCGCAAGAAUG